AGCAGCCGCGGUAAUUCCAGCUCCAAUAGCGUAUAUUAAAGUUGUUGCAGUUAAAAAGCUCGUAGUUGAAUUUCGGGAUUGACGUGACGGUCGUGCCUUAAGGGGUAUGAACUGUCGCAGUUGAUUUCUCACCUUCUGGAGAAGCUUGAUGUCCUUAAUUGGGUGUCAUGUGGAACCAGGACCUUUACCUUGAAAAAAUUAGAGUGUUUAAAGCAGGCAUUUUGCUCGAAUACAUUAGCAUGGAAUAAUAGAAUAGGACGGCAUGGUUCUAUUUUGUUGGUUUCUAGGAUCACCGUAAUGAUUAAUAGGGAUAGUUGGGGGCAUUAGUAUUCAAUUGUCAGAGGUGAAAUUCUUGGAUUUAUUGAAGACUAACUACUGCGAAAGCAUUUGCCAAGGAUGUUUUCAUUAAUCAAGACGAAAGUUAGGGGAUCGAAGACGAUCAGAUACCGU
rnacentral:rRNA from 1 species